UCCUUGCGAGAGGCAGCCAUCAGGUUCAUCGGACUGGCCGCGCGGCCCCUAAGGGGCAGGAACGAGCUGAAGCUGGAGCAGAUCUGCCGAGCCCUUGAGACGCUGCUGGAGGAAAGCCAUCCCGUCAUCUGUUCCCUGGCAAUUCAGACCGUGC